rnacentral:rRNA from 1 species
AUUGAACGCUGGCGGCAGGCUUAACACAUGCAAGUCGAGCGGGGAUAGGGUGCUUGCACCUGAUUCCUAGCGGCGGACGGGUGAGUAAUGCUUAGGAAUCUGCCUAUUAGUGGGGGACAACGUUCCGAAAGGGACGCUAAUACCGCAUACGUCCUACGGGAGAAAGCAGGGGAUCGUCGGAACUUGCGCUAAUAGCUGCGCCUAAGUCGGAUUAGCUAGUUGGUGGGGUAAAGGCCUACCAAGGCGACGAUCUGUAGCGGGUCUGAGAGGAUGAUCCGCCACACUGGGACUGAGACACGGCCCAGACUCCUACGGGAGGCAGCAGUGGGGAAUAUUGGACAAUGGGGGGAACCCUGAUCCAGCCAUGCCGCGUGUGUGAAGAAGGCCUUUUGGUUGUAAAGCACUUUAAGCGAGGAGGAGGCUUACCUGGUUAAUACCUGGGAUAAGUGGACGUUACUCGCAGAAUAAGCACCGGCUAACUCUGUGCCAGCCGCCGCGGUAACAC